rnacentral:rRNA from 1 species
AUACGGAGGGGGCUAGCGUUGUUCGGAAUUACUGGGCGUAAAGCGCGCGUAGGCGGGUUGGCAAGUUGAAGGUGAAAUCCCAGGGCUCAACCCUGGAACUGCCUCCAAAACUGCCAGUCUUGGGUUCGGAAGAGGUGAGUGGAAUUCCUAGUGUAGAGGUGAAAUUCGUAGAUAUUAGGAAGAACACCAGUGGCGAAGGCGACUCACUGGUCCGAUACUGACGCUGAGGUGCGAAAGCGUGGGGAGCAAACAGGAUUAGAAACCCGGGUAGUCC